UACGUAGGGGGCUAGCGUUGUCCGGAUUUAUUGGGCGUAAAGAGCGUGUAGGCGGCCAGGUAGGUCUGGUGUGAAAUCUCGAGGCUCAACUUCGAGCUGUCGGUGGAAACUAUCUGGCUAGAGUCCGGAAGAGGAGAAUGGAAUUCCUGGUGUAGCGGUGAAAUGCGCAGAUAUCAGGAAGAACACCCGUGGCGAAGGCGGUUCUCUGGGACGGUACUGACGCUGAGACGCGAAAGCGUGGGGAGCGAACAGG
rnacentral:rRNA from 1 species